AACUGCUUCGGCGGUACAUAUACUAAAAUUGGAACGAUACAGAGAAGAUUAGCAUGGCCCCUGCGCAAGGAUGACACGCAAAAUCGUGAAGCGUUCCACAUUAGA
rnacentral:snRNA from 1 species